UGGGUUGUAGCUCAAUGGUAGAGCGCUUGCCUAUCACGUGUGGGGCACUGAGUUUGAUCCUCAGCACCACAU
rfam:Ictidomys tridecemlineatus contig045252, whole genome shotgun sequence.